GACGAACGCUGGCGGUGUGCUUAACACAUGCAAGUCGAACGGUAAGGCCCUUUCGGGGGUACACGAGUGGCGAACGGGUGAGUAACACGUGAGUAACCUGCCCUCAUCUCUGGGAUAACAGUCGGAAACGGUUGCUAAUACUGGAUAUGAGCUUGCAAGGCAUCUUGUGGGUUGGAAAGAUUUUUUUGGUUGGGGAUGGACUCGCGGCCUAUCAGCUUGUUGGUGAGGUAGUGGCUCACCAAGGCUUCGACGGGUAGCCGGCCUGAGAGGGCGACCGGCCACAUUGGGGCUGAGAUACGGCCCAAACUCCUACGGGAGGCAGCAGUGGGGAAUAUUGCACAAUUGACGGAAGUCUGAUGCAGCAACGCCGCGUGCGGGAUGACGGCCUUCGGGUUGUAAACCGCUUUCAAUUGUGACGAAGCUUUUUGUGACGGUAGCAGUAGAAGAAGCACCGGCUAACUACGUG
rnacentral:rRNA from 1 species